ensembl:lncRNA
AUGCGCAGCUGUCGGCCAUGCCGAAAGGAGCCAAAAGUGCCGCGGUCCGAGAGGAGGAAUGGAAGGGGGACGAGGAAGGGAACGGUUGAGAACAUCUUCAGUGCGUUGAGCUUGGAGGACGAGGAAGAGGAGGAGGAGGAGGAAGGAAACCGGCCCCAUAGAAAGAAGGACGAGGAAGAAGAGGAGGAAGAUGGGAGGAAGAAGAAGAACAGGAAGAAUGAAAAGAACUGCAGCAGGCGGCAGAACCAAUUUGCUGCUUUGGGCUCCGACGAAGGGGAGGAAGAAGAAGAGGAAGAAGCCGAAAAACCCGGAAGUCCAACCCCCAAAGAGGAAGAGGAAGUGGGGGGAAAAAAGGCCCAAAUCAGUAAAAAGGAAAGGAAAAAGAUGAAGAAACAGGUGGGUGGGCGGGACUUCCGGGGGGUGGGACUUCCGGGUGGGCGCGACUUCCGGGUGGGUGGGACUUCCGGGUGGGCGGGACUUCCGGCGGGUGGGAUUUCCGGGUGAGCGCGACUUCCGGGGGUGGGACUUCCGGGAGGGGUUUACUUUAUGGGUGGGACUUCCGGGGGGGUGUGGCAUAUCACCGGAAGUGCAUUGUGUAUAUGACCAAAAGGGGCGUGGCUUAGUACAGAAAGAGAGUUUGACCACGUGUCCGGAAGUGGGCGUGGCUUAAGACAGGAAGUGGUUAUUGCGCAUAGCCGGAAGUGGGCGUGGCUUAUGGAAAAUAACUGGCAGUGUAACCGGAAGUGGGCGUGGCUUAAGACAGAAAGCGACGAGUACAUACCCGGAAGUGGGCGUGACUUACUGCCGGAAAUGAAACCCAACAUAACCGGAAGUGGCGCUGCUUACAACAGGAAGCGGUCGUGCAAAACCGAAAGUGGGCGUGGCUUACGACAGGAAGUGGGCGUGUGUUGGGACCGGAAAUGGUGUCCCACGUGACAGGAAGUAGGCAUAGUGUUAUGCAUACCCGGAAGUGGGCGUGGCUUACGACAGGAAGUGGGCGUCUUGGGACCGGAAAUGGUGUCCCACGUGACAGGAAGUAGACAUAGUGUUGCGCAUAACCGGAAGUGGGUGUGGCUUACGACAGGAAGUGGGCGUGUGUUGGGACCGGAAAUGGUUUCCCACGUGACAGGAAGUAGACAUAGUGUUGUGCGUACCCGGAAGUGGGCGUGGCUUAGGACAGGAAGUAGGAGCCACGUGACAGGAAGCGAGCGUUGCUUACAACAGGAAGUGGGAGUCACGUGACAGGAAGUGGUCCCCCACGUGACAGGAAGUGGGCGUGUCCUGACGUGUCCCCUCCCCCUAUAGCUGGAUUACCAGCGCCAGGUGGCCACGAUGGCGGCGGCCGCGGCCGACAGCGACUUCGCGGUGUCUCAGGCCGACGGGUCCUCGCGGCACGCGGCGCUCGACAACGCCGCC